rnacentral:lncRNA from 1 species
CCACGUGUCUACUCCAUUAUCUUUCGCAAUCAAUUCCCCUGACCAUGGGCGGCCCACUACCAGGCAGUUACACACGUCGCCAUCAGUCCGUUGCCUCCCCCGCCUAUAAAAGGGGGGACUCAGAUACGUUAUUUUUUAAGCUCAUUUUUCUUAUCUCAAAACUCUGCUAAAUUCUCCGUUCGAGCACUCCAUUCUUGUUGAGGCAGAGAACUGACUUGAGCGUCGGAGGGUCUUGUCGGAGCAACCCCACCUCCGGUUUAGACUUCCCUUGCAGGUCCC